rnacentral:rRNA from 1 species
CCCUUAGAUGUUCUGGGCCGCACGCGCGCUACACUGACGAUGGAAACGAGUUUUUCCUUCGCCGAAAGGUGUGGGUAAUCUUUUGAAACAUCGUCGUGCUGGGGAUAGAUCAUUGCAAUUUUUGAUCUUGAACGAGGAAUUCCUAGUAAGCGCGAGUCAUCAGCUCGCGUUGAUUACGUCCCUGCCCUUUGUACACACCGCCCGUCGCUACUACCGAUUGAAUGGUUUAGUGAGGACUCCUGAUUGGCGCCGCCGCCCCGGCAACGGAGCAGCGGACUGCCGAAAAGUUGUUCAAACUUGAUCAUUUAGAGGAAGUAAAAGUCGUAACA